UUUUUUUAAAAUUGGAGAAUAACAUUUCUUUCUUGUCUUUUUCUAUUAUUUUGGCGGCAAUUCGAAAUUUAAUCUGAAUUUUAUUUUGUUCAAAAUGGGCAAAAAUAAAAGUUUUAACGCGUCAACUCGGCAAAUACUCGUUAGAAGAAAUAGCUGAGCAUUUAAAUUGUUCUUUGUCUAGUUUUUAAUGCAAUUGAUCGUUAAAACACAUGGACCCGUUGAAAAUAUUUUUAGAAAGGAUCGGCCAAGAAAAACCUCCCAGAGAUGAUACGCUAAUCGUUCGUGUUGAUAAAAAAGAUCCAUUGAAAGGCUCCAACCAGAUUAAAAAUUAAGUUUUUUCGCCUGAUGACCAGAGAAACAUCUCUUUAAGACUGAUACGCCGAAGAUUAGUGGUAGCUAAAUUUUUUAGAAGAACCUCUCGAAAGGUACCGCUUCUUACCAAGCAACACAGAGAAAAGCGAAUAUAAUUCGCAAAAAAUAUGUUAAUUGGACGAAAUAGGCAGGGUGGUGGUACCUACCCGCGCGGAUUCACAAGAGGUCCUACCACCAGUAAAAAGUGUUUUUCCGGAAGACUGAAGGUACAAUGGAUCAAUGGCAAUACAAAAAUAUUUUACAGGAUACAAUGAUCCCCUACUCGGACGAUGAUUUGCCUGUAACUUGGAUCUUUCAGCAUGACAUAACCCUAAUCACACAGAGCCAAUAGCGUUAAAUGUUUCCUUAGCGAACAGCGUAUAUCCGUUUUGAGACUGGCGAGCAAAUAGUCGGGAUUUAAGCCCGAUAGAAAAUCUCUGGUAUAUUGUUGAAAAGAAAGUCUCAAACAAACGUAAAACUAGUCAAAACGAUCUAUAUGAAGCAUUUGUUGAAGCAAGGAAUUCAGUCCCCCUUGAAAAAUAUAUGAAAUUGACUGGAUCAGUGCCACGUCGUUGCAGUGCUGUUAUUGAAAAUAAGGGAUACGCCACUAAAUAUUAAUUAUAACUAUUGGAAAGCUGUGGAUAGUAGCUAUUUCGUAAAUAGCUAUACUAAUUAUACCUAAAAACAAAAA